rnacentral:rRNA from 1 species
ACGAACGCUGGCGGCGUGCUUAACACAUGCAAGUCGAACGGUGAAGCGCCUUCCUUUUUGGUGGGUGUGGAUGAGUGGCGAACGGGUGAGUAACACGUGAGUAACCUGCCCCCUUCUUCUGGAUAACCGCAUGAAAGUGUGGCUAAUACGGGAUAUUCUGGGUCUGUCGCAUGAUGGGUCUGGGAAAGAUAUUGUUUCGGUGGGGGAUGGGCUCGCGGCCUAUCAGCUUGUUGGUGGGGUGAUGGCCUACCAAGGCGGUGACGGGUAGCCGGCCUGAGAGGGUCGACGGUCACACUGGGACUGAGACACGGACCAGACUCCUACGGGAGGCAGCAGUGGGGAAUAUUGCACAAUGGGCGCAAGCAUGAUGCAGCGACGCCGCGUGAGGGAUGGAGGCCUUCGGGUUGUGAACCUCUUUCGCCAGUGAAGCAGGCCUGCCUCGUUUGUGGGUGGGUUGACGGUAGCUGGAUAAGAAGCGCCGGCUAACUACGUG